AUGGGUUCCAACAAGAAGCGCAGCAGGAGUGCUGCGGCUCCCUGGUGUGUAGUCCUAGGCAUACUCCUGCUUGUCGUCGGGGCGGUGGCCAAGGACCUUGGCAACAUCUUCCAGGACUGCGAAUUUGAUUGCCAAGAUUUUGAUCCAUCCUCCGACUCCUACUUCAUGUGCAUGGCUGUGUGCGUAUUCGGCAAUGGCGCCGUUCAUCUGGCGACCGAUGGGGGCACAGAAAGAGAAGACCGCAAGAUGAAGCGAGAAGCUGGCGAAGACGACCCAUUCUCCUGCGAAGACCAUUGCCGUGAGGUAUUUGAGCCAGAUUCUGCCAAAUUCAGGAAGUGCAUGCGUAUCUGUCAGGCUUAA
rnacentral:rRNA from 1 species